ensembl:lncRNA
AUUUGCUCAUGUCUCAUUCCUCACAUUUAAAAACUCCCUUGUAGAAGCAAACUGGAAGGAUGAGGAAUACAAGGUCUGAAUUCAAAGUCAGGGCCCUCGUUACAGCUGGGACAGAGUUAAUUUUCUUCAUAGCAUCUGGUAUGGUGCUAUGACAACACACCAAUGUUUUAUUUGUUUCUGAGCAGUGGUUGCACAGAGUCAAAAGGCAUUUCAGCUUCCCCUAUUGCCCUGCCAGUGAGGGGACUAAGGGUGGCACAAGAAGCUGAAAGAGGAUGGAACCAGGACAGCUGAUCUAAACUUUCCAAAGGGAUAUUCUAUACCAUGUGACAUAAUGUGAAAGAUAUAAAACUGAGGGCAGUCGGCCAGAGGGACAGUCGCUGCUCAGCAACUGGAUGGGCAUCAGUCAGUGGGUGGCCUCCAAGAACGGUCCAGUUAGUCCAUCUGAGUGAGAUGUGGGAAACCAAAUGUAAUCAUCUGCUGAGUGAAGACUGUAGACUGACAUCUUCGAAUAUCCCUGGCUUGGAGCUGAUAAAUGGAUGCAUUCCUUCAGCUCAUCUUGUUGGCUAUUCUCAGUUCCAGGUACCUGUUUGGAAGAGAAGAAGAACUACGGUCCCCAAGAGCCUUUUCGAGUACUGUUAUCAUUCCUGCUCAAGGGAACAGAUAUAAGGGCGCAGGUCAUCUGACUCGGCCCUCUUCUCAUCUUGCCGUGUUCCCUGCCGGAUCGGCUCGUUACUGCUGCUCCUGACUGCAUGCAAGGCUUCAGUAUUAGCGUGAGGCCUUUGGCUCUCGGACAAUCUUUCUCUCAAUUAUUGUUGAUUUAUAUUGUGUUAUAGUGUGUUAUCUUACAUUCCGAUACUAUAUUUAGUAAAUUAGUUUGUUUCUCCUCAGACCGUUGCCACUGUUUUUAAUUAUUUUGGGGUCCCCUUUUUCCCUUCCUGGAGGCGUGGAUUUUGCGAAGUCCCUCUGCCCCACUAGUCGCGGAACUGGGCUGGACCAACCCUUAAACCGUUGACACAUCAUAGGUCAAAAAAAUAAAAAAAAGAGACACUGCAUUCACAGUAGAUCUCAUAUAUUAAAACUGACAUAUAUUGAAUUUGGUCUAGUAUAUUUUAGGUCUAAACAUUUUAAGAAUAGAAACUGGAGGCAGCCGAUAGAAGACUGUGUUCAAUUGUAAUGAGAAAAUAAAUGUUGUUUUAACCACACCUAAUCUGGCAACCUAACAGCUAAAACACUGCUGCAGACUAGCACUAUAAUUUAAAAUUUUAAAAAGGUUAUUAAUAAUUUGAUAUAUGAAACACAGGUAUUUUACUGAAGAGGAAUGAAGAAAGAAUGAGGGACAGAAGGAAAGAAUAGAGGAAGAAACAGAAGGAGAUGACAUUCAGUGGGGAAUGAUUAUGAUGAGGUCCUUCCUUCUCCUUUCCAUGUUUCCCAGACUGACAACAUGAGUCUCCUGUUUCCCUUUUCUGGAGGCGUGGAUUUUACAAAAAAAUCCCUCUGCCCCACUAGUCACGGAACCAGACCGGACCAGCCCGUAAACCAUCGACAGAAGAAAAUGCUUGCUUGUGGAAAAGUCUAUAGGACAUCAACAACUAGAUUUGUUCUUUAAGCCAGUCCAGAUUAUUCACAUUAUAAUGUACAGAAUAUAUUGAGUUUUGUUUCUCAAUGUAUGUGAGUGUAGACAUACACAUUUAGUCAAGUUAUAUAGUACAGGUUUAUUAAGAUUCAUCAAUUUACAUUAAGCAUCACAGAUUAGACCUAUAAAAAGAAAAAUUAUGCCCUCAGCUUAUGUGAAAACCAGUGUGACCGUGAAAAAUCAAAAAGAUCUUAAAAACUAUAGCAAGAAGACUUGGAAGUCAGGUAGUCUGAACCAGGAAGUCCAGGAUCCAUCUAAAUAAUUGACUCAUCCAGAUUUCAUUUAUUGCAGACAGAAUUUUCAGAUUUUUCCGUCUUCAAAUGAUGAUUGUGAUAAUAUUCAGUGGAGAGCAUGACUGCACAGUCCACAAAGCAAAUAAGUAAGAAAUACAUAUACAGGAGUGUUUCCAGAGAAAAGUAAUAAUUUUAGCUUGUUAUCAUGAUCAGUAUUCCGUAUCAGUAGUAGUUAAGUUUAAAUUUGUAUUGCUAGGAAUUUCCAGAAAUAUCUAUAUUGUGAAUACUUCUUACAACAAUUUGUAGCCACUGCCUUCCUUCUACAAGAUUAAAAUACUCUGAAAAUCAAAUGUGAUUUUAAGGUUGCCUCUUCAAUAACACACAGCAUCUACUUGG